rnacentral:rRNA from 1 species
UAACGCGUGGAUAACCUGCCGUAUACAGGGGGAUAACACUUAGAAAUAGGUGCUAAUACCGCAUAAGCGCACGGUUCCGCAUGGAACAGUGUGAAAAACUUCGGUGGUAUACGAUGGAUCCGCGUCUGAUUAGCCAGUUGGCGGGGUAACGGCCCACCAAAGCGACGAUCAGUAGCCGGCCUGAGAGGGUGAACGGCCACAUUGGGACUGAGACACGGCCCAAACUCCUACGGGAGGCAGCAGUGAGGAAUAUUGCACAAUGGGGGAAACCCUGAUGCAGCGACGCCGCGUGAGUGAAGAAGUAUCUCGGUACGUAAAGCUCUAUCAGCAGGGAAGAAAAUGACGGUACCUGAUUAAGAAGCCCCGGCUAACUACGUGCCAGCAGCCGCGGUAAUACGUAGGGGGCAAGCGUUAUCCGGAUUUACUGGGUGUAAAGGGAGCGUAGACGGCAGCGCAAGUCUGGAGUGAAAUGCCGGGGCCCAACCCCGGAACUGCUUUGGAAACUGUGCAGCUCGAGUGCAGGAGAGGUAAGCGGAAUUCCUAGUGUAGCGGUGAAAUGCGUAGAUAUUAGGAGGAACACCAGUGGCGAAGGCGGCUUACUGGACUGUAACUGACGUUGAGGCUCGAAAGCGUGGGGAGCAAACAGGAUUAGAUACCCUGGUAGU